UACGUAGGGUCCGAGCGUUGUCCGGAAUUACUGGGCGUAAAGAGCUCGUAGGUGGUUUGUCGCGUUGUUCGUGAAAACUCACAGCUCAACUGUGGGCGUGCGGGCGAUACGGGCAGACUUGAGUACUGCAGGGGAGACUGGAAUUCCUGGUGUAGCGGUGGAAUGCGCAGAUAUCAGGAGGAACACCGGUGGCGAAGGCGGGUCUCUGGGCAGUAACUGACGCUGAGGAGCGAAAGCGUGGGGAGCGAACAGG
rnacentral:rRNA from 2 species